ACAGGGUUGAGGGUUCCUGCCUCUGGCCCCUACCUGAGAGAAGCCCUCCCUCUUCUACUCACACUUUCCACGCCUCUCACACCCCCCUUCCUCCCACCUCAGACUUCGGAAGAAUGCAUCAAUCGGUAGUCUGCUUUCGUAGAAAACGGACAACGUAUAGCUAUUGUUGGAAGAGGUUGUGAGACGACGUGACAGCGGAUUGAGACGAGAGGUGGACCCCUGCAAGCGGGGCGCUCCCUACCCUUUCACCCCUCCACGACCUCAGCACGUACUUACGUUCUGCCCCACCGGCCCUCAGCGAAGCAGUCCUCCAGCGCGCAGCUGCGAGUGAGUGAGCACGUGGUGCGCAGACCCUCUGGACGCAUGCGCACCGGCACCCAGUUCCUCCCUGGUGUGAGAGCCUCAGACCCUGCAGGGGGAAGGUGCGCUGUUCUGAGGCCCCUGGACAGGCAAGCCUCCUGGACAACUCUGAUUAACUGAAGCAAACAUGAAAUUUAAUGGAAGGAUACAGCUAACACACAGAGAAGGCUGAGGACCAGGCUUGGAAGAAGACAGGAACUGAGCCAGCUCUGGAGGAGCAGAAACGCUGGCAAACCAAGGAGAGGAGCUGGAAGUCCUUGGCAUUCACAGCCAUACACUAAACCAGACUAAAAAUUGGCAUAGACACAGGCCCACAUCUGGAGGAUAUUAGUCUGCCCAAAGGAAUUCAGCCUGUGAACUGGUUUUGGCUGAUGUUUUGGAGGAGUAUGCAACCUUGAGGAAUCUUGGCUGUGUCAAUACAGAUAGAAUAUCUUGAAACCAUCUAAGAGAUCCACAGGAAAUUUCCAUUGCAAAGCAGAGAGAGUCCUCUAGAGCCUGUCAGCCGAGUAGAGGAGGGGGACUGGGAUAAAGAACUCCUCCCCCUCCAUCCAUAAGUGGCACACCACUGGCCUCCUGGUGUUAUUAAAGGAAAAUUGGAAAAGUUUCCAGAAGAUUAAGCAGAAAGCUUACAACUUGCACAAGACUCUCAAUUUUCCAGUGGCUCUGACAGAAGGAUAAAUCUUCAGCUGUUUUAACUAAAAUGAGCUGGAGAAACUGAAGGAGGAUCCAGGAGAAUGUGGAACAAUUGAGGGCCCAUCUGCUACCCACAUGAAGACGGGAGGUAGAAAAUGACACAGGUUAGAAUACUGAAGCCUUGGAAUGAUUCAGUAACUUGCCUUAAACCAUCCAGCUGGUGCUGAAGAUAGAGAGCUGCCUUGUCCCAUGAUUUUCUUUCUGGAAUAGAACAGCAGCAAAAGACCAGAUCAUCUGGCCCAUGCUUCCUCAGUUCUGACAAUAGUGAUUGUCUCAGAUACCAGUGCAGUAUCAUCAUAAUCUGCCACUCUUUACUGUGGUGCCUGAGGAAGAAGCGAGGGAGUCUUAAAAACCAUCCAGCUCUCCAGAUUCAAUUGGCAGGUUAAUCGAAAACAAUUUUUUUAUAGCACAAUAAAGGACCUGGGAACAGUGGAACAUUAAUAUUUGUUUCCCAAAGAGUGGACCCUGAGAGAAUAAAGCUGAAUGCAGUUGAAUUAUGGUACCCAUAGUGUGGGGGAUGCAUUUUGCAUUGCUUCAUUUUACACUGCCAUUAAUCAGGCAGCAGAGAGCAAAGGCUGCCUCACCAACUGCUGCCAGAGCACCCCGAGAGAGAUGUCACCCCCAGUCCUGGGGAAGGGCAGUCAGCUUUCCUAAGUAUCUUAUGUGAUUACAAUAUAGUUUUCAUGAUGCAUUCUUAAUAAAACAAAAGGUGGCCCUCUGACAAAAAAUAUCAUCUGGUUUUUAUAAUGUAAAAUACAGCAAUUUUAUCAGCAUUAACACUGAUUGGCUGCCAUUAGCCCCUUGCCUUCUAAUAAAAUUUAUGAUACCUUUCAGGAGCCCAAUUUGAUAGAAAGUGAAGUGAUUGCACCCUGCUUAGAUAUCUCUCUGGCAUCUAUUCCAACAAUAAUGCGGUAAUUUUAUGCAUGAAAUAGCACAAUUGGCAUAAAUAGUUAUAAUACUGAGUGCUGUCUAAGGAAACUGGCUGGUGGAAAAUUAGAAAGCGCUUCACACUUUUGAAACAGGUAAUUAGGAUUUUUCUUCGUGCUCAUACAAGGCAGACUGGAGUUUCAUUUUAUAUUUCAUGUUUCAUUAAAAUAUAGGUGUGAAAAAUAAAUGUUGAAUUUAAAACUGCAUAUAUUAUGAAAUUAAAGGUAUAGUACAUGGUAGAGGGUGCAAAGUGUGCAAUGAGACUUUGGGAUGUUCUAUUUAGUUGCAGGGGUAGUAUGCUUUUAAAACAUUUUGGACAGGUAGUAUAGCCUUGUUUCAAGUAUGUUACUUUGGAAAGGAUUGAUUUAGAAAUACGUUGCAUUCAAUCUCCAAAUCUUUAGCCCAAGAAACAGUGUGCUGCCUUGAUUUAAACUCUAACUGAGGAUGAUCUCCUUCAUUUAAUUGGCAGGUGAGGGUAGACUUUGGGUCACGUAGGAUUGGCUGAACGGCUUUGAACUUUGCAUUGGGCUCAACAGUUCUCUGUCUAUUCCACAUUUCCAUCCUGACCUUGGCUGCUCAUUCAGACCUGAGCCAACCCCCAGUGGAACCUUUCUGAUUCUCUUGAACUGUGCUGUGAUUUUGGAAGGCGGGCAAAGGGCUGUAAUGGCACCAUUGUAUUAACCUCCACUUAUGACCCAGCCAAGGGCAGGCUUUUAAGUUUUCCCAGCUGUGUCAUUAAAUUUGUUGCUCUGGCCCCACUGACAUGACACCAUCACAAUCCCAGCCACAGACUAAUGACUGCAUUUGUGAGGGCAGCAUGUUAUAGAAGAGAGUACACAGGGCUAAGAGUUGAGAAAACUGGGCUUCUUUCUUGUUUUCCCAUAACUACUCAUGUGGAAUUAGGAAGGACAUUGAACUUUUAUAUGCCUCAGUUUCCUCAUCUGUGAAAUGGGAAUUGUACCCUCAUCAUGUUUCUUAGAAGCUUGUUGUGAGAAUACAGAUUGCAAAACUUGUUGAAAAGGAGCUAAAGCCAAAUACAACAUUCCACAUAUAUGCCAUGUCUUGCUAUAUUCUAAUGAAAAAGCGCAUGCAAAAUGAAAAUGGUAUUGCUCUUGUAUAAUACAAAGUAUUUUUUCUUAGAGUGUUUGGAGAUAUGAAAGGAAGCUGUGUCUGUGAUUUAGAAGGAUAUUAAAAAAUGCUCUUAUAAUUUAAGAUGCAUAAGAAACAUACCAUAGAAAGAGCAACAGCAUUUAUUGUACCUAAGUAAAAUUGCAAGGUUCCUGGCGGUUACUCUAGUUUUCAAUAGAAAAUCAUAAAAUAAGGAAUAAAUUCAGCAUUGCUAAUAAUCUCACUGUAAAUUCUGUUCAUUACUCCUAUCAUAUCUUCUAGUGAUUGCAAUGUAAAGUUGUGGCCUGCUAAUGUAAUAAUAUAUUCACAUUCUCAAGCAAUUCUAAAAAAAAAAUAUCUAGUCCACCAGAACAGUGAUCAUGCAAAAGAAAUUGGGAACAAAUGCUAUUUUCAUUAACCUUUACCAGUGACACUAAGUUCUA